UGACCUAUCAGCUUUAGACGGUAGGGUAUUGGCCUACCGUGGCUAUGACGGGUAACGGGGAAUUAGGGUUCGAUUCCGGAGAGGGAGCCUGAGAAACGGCUACCACAUCUAAGGAAGGCAGCAGGCGCGCAAAUUACCCAAUCCUAAUACAGGGAGGUAGUGACAAGAAAUAACAAUACAGAACCUUACGGUUUUGUAAUUGGAAUGAGUUAAGUAUAAACCCCUUAACAAGUAUCAAUUGGAGGGCAAGUCUGGUGCCAGCAGCCGCGGUAAUUCCAGCUCCAAUAGCGUAUAUUAAAGUUGUUGCAGUUAAAAAGCUCGUAGUUAAUCUUCUGUUAAUUUUUAUAUAUAAUAUCUCGAUAUUUAUAUAAUAUUAACAUAAUUCAUAUUACUUUUUAGUAUAUGAAACUUUACUUUGAGAAAAUUAGAGUGCUUAAAGCAGGCUAUUGCCUUGAAUACUCCAGCAUGGAAUAAUAUUAAGGAUUUUUAUUCUUCUUAUUGGUUCUAGAAUAAAAAUGAUGAUUAAUAGGAACAGUUGGGGGCAUUUGUAUUUAACAGUCAGAGGUGAAAUUCUUAGAUUUGUUAAAGACAAACUACUGCGAAAGCAUUUGCCAAGGAUGUUUUCAUUAAUCAAGAACGAAAGUUAGGGGAUCGAAGACGAUCAGAUACC
rnacentral:rRNA from 1 species